UAGUGGCGAACGGGUGAGUAACACGUGGGCAAUCUGCCCUUCACUCUGGGACAAGCCCUGGAAACGGGGUCUAAUACCGGAUACGACUGCGGAAGGCAUCUUCCGCGGUGGAAAGCUCCGGCGGUGAAGGAUGAGCCCGCGGCCUAUCAGCUUGUUGGUGGGGUAAUGGCCUACCAAGGCGACGACGGGUAGCCGGCCUGAGAGGGCGACCGGCCACACUGGGACUGAGACACGGCCCAGACUCCUACGGGAGGCAGCAGUGGGGAAUAUUGCACAAUGGGCGAAAGCCUGAUGCAGCGACGCCGCGUGAGGGAUGACGGCCUUCGGGUUGUAAACCUCUUUCAGCAGGGAAGAAGCGAAAGUGACGGUACCUGCAGAAGAAGCGCCGGCUAACUACGUGCCAGCAGCCGCGGUAAUACGUAGGGCGCAAGCGUUGUCCGGAAUUAUUGGGCGUAAAGAGCUCGUAGGCGGCCAGUCACGUCGGAUGUGAAAGCCCGAGGCUUAACCUCGGGUCUGCAUUCGAUACGGGCUGGCUAGAGUGUGGUAGGGGAGAUCGGAAUUCCU
rnacentral:rRNA from 1 species